rnacentral:lncRNA from 1 species
AAUCUGUGAGGUGGAUGCGUGUUGGAAGGACCCCUUUUGGUUUCUUUUUGCUCAGAGCUUUCUUUUAAUAAAUUCCGCUCUCCUCACCUUUCAAUGUGUCCGUAUGCCUAAUUUUUCCUGGUCCUGUGACAAGAACCUGAUUUUAGCUGAACUAAGGAGCGAAAGAUCCUGGAUCAUUUUGGUGACCCAUACUGGUACAUGAGGAAAGCAGGUCACAAAACCCUCCUGUGAGAGGAACCCUCUGUGGAAGAACAGAAUAUGUCACCCCAAAAUAUGAAGAAUUGUUGAGCUGAAGAUGAUUAAGAAGAAGCGGAUGCAGGAAAGCUCUCUGCUCUCCCUCUAUUUGCUUAAAAGCAGGAUAAACACUUACAAAGACUAAAGACGCCACAAUCAAGAACUCAGAAGGGUAGAAGAAAAAGAUAGUUUCCCUUCCCUACACAGGGUCCAUGCAUUCAGUGGAGUAAUGAUUCCUGUCCAUGAAAAAAAAAAAAGAAAGUAGAAAAUUUCAGAGAAGAGAAAAAUUUUCCACUUGGGAGCAAGGGCAUGAGGGCAGCGGGGAAGUG